rnacentral:rRNA from 1 species
UGGAACCACCUGAUCCCAUCCCGAACUCAGCAGUGAAACGAUGCAUCGCCGAUGGUAGUGUGGGGUUUCCCCAUGUGAGAGUAGGUCAUCGUCAAGAU